rnacentral:rRNA from 1 species
GACGAACGCUGGCGGCGUGCCUAAUACAUGCAAGUUGAGCGCUGAAGGUUGGUACUUGUACCAACUGGAUGAGCAGCGAACGGGUGAGUAACGCGUGGGGAAUCUGCCUUUGAGCGGGGGACAACAUUUGGAAACGAAUGCUAAUACCGCAUAAAAACUUUAAACACAAGUUUUAAGUUUGAAAGAUGCAAUUGCAUCACUCAAAGAUGAUCCCGCGUUGUAUUAGCUAGUUGGUGAGGUAAAGGCUCACCAAGGCGAUGAUACAUAGCCGACCUGAGAGGGUGAGCGGCCAGAUUGGGACUGAGACACGGCACAAACUGCUACGGGAGGCAGCAGUAGGGAAACUUCGGCAAUGGGCGAAAGUCUGACCGAGCAACGCCGAGCGAGUGAAGAAGGUUGCCGGAUCGGAAAACUCGGUUGGUAGGGAGGAACGCUGGUGCGAGUGGAAAGAUCAUCAAGUGACGGUAACUACCCAGAAAGGGACGGCUAACUACGUG